GACGAACGCUGGCGGCGUGCUUAACACAUGCAAGUCGAAGAUAGUGGCUAACGGGUGAGUAAUACGCGGGUAACUUGCCCUCCUUUUUGGGAUAAGCCUUGGAAACAGGGUCUAAUACCUACUAAAGGGGGCUGGGCUCACUGCCUCUCAGCUUGUUGGUGGGGUGCUGGCCUACCAAGCCGGUGACAGGUAGCCGGCCUGGGAGGGUGACCGGUCGCAUUGUGCCGGAGAUACGCCCUAGCCUGCUACGGGAGGCAGCAGUGGGGGAUAUUGCACAAUCGGCGAAAGCCUGAUGCAGCUGCGCCGCGUGGGUGAUGGGGGCUUUCGGGUUGUAAACCUCUUUCGCUAUCGAACGGGUAGGUGGUGAAGAAGCGCCGGCUAACUACGUGCCAGCAGCCGCGGUAAUAC
rnacentral:rRNA from 1 species